rnacentral:sRNA from 1 species
CAGUAACUGGUGAGAUGAGAAUUGCAUUCGAUCAACAUCCAUUCCAUGUGAAGCUCAACUCUUUGCAGAAACAGAACUACAGACUGCAAACUUUUCCGCGCAGCGUUAGACAUGCAAUUCUUGGCAGAAGAAGUUUCAAGUGUUCGAAUUUUUCACAUGAUUCAGGAUCUUCGCACAAUUUUGCAAAUGAAGCAUGUGCAAGAGGUUUGAGUUGAGCAAUUACCAACAGCCAGUUUUUUAGGACUCUGUAAGUAUAGGUAUUUCUGUACAGCUUAGAUGAAGAAUCCACCAUCCACCGUACACCCCUAUUAUUUUUGACUUGUUACACAAUUUUCUUGAACAUCGUAUUUCUGUAAAGUUUGUAGUUAACAAGUUUAGGAAUUCGGCAAUCUUACCUGAUUCUUGUG